rnacentral:rRNA from 1 species
GAUGAACGCUGGCGGCGUGCCUAAUACAUGCAAGUCGAGCGAAUGGAUUAAGAGCUUGCUCUUAUGAAGUUAGCGGCGGACGGGUGAGUAACACGUGAGUAACCUGCCCAUAAGACUGGGAUAACUCCGGGAAACCGGGGCUAAUACCGGAUAACAUUUUGAACCGCAUGGUUCGAAAUUGAAAGGCGGCUUCGGCUGUCACUUAUGGAUGGACCCGCGUCGCAUUAGCUAGUUGGUGAGGUAACGGCUAACCAAGGCAACGAUGCGUAGCCGACCUGAGAGGGUGAUCGGCCACACUGGGACUGAGACACGGCCCAGACUCCUACGGGAGGCAGCAGUAGGGAAUCUUCCGCAGUGGACGAAAGUCUGACGGAGCAACGCCGCGUGAGUGAUGAAGGCUUUCGGGUCGUAAAACUCUGUUGUUAGGGAAGAACAAGUGCUAGUUGAAUAAGCUGACACCUUGACGGUACCUAACCAGAAAGCCACGGCUAACUACGUGCCAGCCGCCGCUGUAA